GUCAACUAAAACUCCAUCUUGAUACUGAUUACCAGACAAAAUUGCUGUAUUUCUGUCAUUAGAAACUGCAUCAGGAUAUGAACUGGGAGAAAGAUUGCGCUCCAGGAAAUACUGAUCAAACAGCAAACACGAGCUGUCAUCACUGAAAACUAUUUUCUCUAGAUUGUCAAUUCCAUGACAUCCAUUGCUUGUUUCAUCCACAGCACCAACUUUCUCAGGGUACCUCCCUAAGCCACAAGAAUGAGAAAGUUCUUGCAAGUAUUUUAAUACCUUUUUCAGUUCUUCGGGACCCAAAAAGCAUAUGCACAGAGGGCUUUGAUCAAUAUUGUAGUUAAGAAGUUGAGAGCCAAAAGAAAGACUCUGAAGUUCUUCCACCACAUAAUGCAUAACCUUGCUGAGGUGAGUUGAUGCAAGAUAUUUAUUUUUAAUAAGAGCCUCAAACACAGCACGGAUUCUUUCAAGAAGCUUUGCUCGCUCAGGGUCAUCAGACAGUGGCAUGUCUUCAGGAAGUAAACAAAUCUUUGAACCACCAUCUUCAUCACAAUCCAUAUAGUCAAUAUCUGAGAUCUUAUCAUUUUUUCUGCUCUCAACCAUAUUUACAUUGAGUCGAUCCCCUACUUUCUUCCUUCUAGGGGAC
rnacentral:misc_RNA from 1 species